rnacentral:misc_RNA from 1 species
UCCGAGUUGACCCCGGCAGUCUCCUACGAGUCCCCGGCCUUACCCGCUGGCAACAUAGGACAAGGGUUGCGCUCGUUGCGGGACUUAACCCAACAUCUCACGACACGAGCUGACGACAGCCAUGCAGCACCUUCUCACCGGCUCUCUUGCGAGCACUCCCACAUCUCUGCGGGGUUCCGGUGGAUUUAACCCAGGUAAGGUUCUGCGCGUUGCGUCGAAUUGAACCACAUGCUCCACCGCUUGUGCGGGCCCCCGUCAAUUCCUUUGGGUUUUAGCCUUGCGGCCGUACUCCCCAGGCGGGGUGCUUAAUGCGUUAGCUUCGGCACGGAUGGAGUCGACACCACCCACACCUAGCACCCAUCGUUUACAGCGUGGACUAC